UGAAACCAAAUAAUAGAGAGCAUUUCCACAACUUGUUUAUAGUUUCAGCUCGAACAAAUAUUACCACUGGAAUGUCGUUCAACAGAGAUUCUAAGCUUCGUUUGUAUCCUUGACAACACAUGCAGCUUGGGCCUCUAUUAUGUCUAUGCUCUGUUAGGCUUGGUUUAUAAGGACGCCGUUGCUAUAGACAGCGUACAGGCGAUUUCCUCCAAUCACGAACACGCACUUGCAACGAAACCAUUUGAAUCAGCCAAUCAAAUGAAAGACCGAUUAUCCACCUGAAGAAUGGGGUUUCGAGUUUCGAGACUCUGGGAUGACACGAAAACUGAAGUAGUUCGCAACUAUUUUAAUGUACAUUUUACCCGUGUCGACGACGUUUGAAUGUUUGUAAUUUCGCAUGAGAAAAUCAACGACAAACUCUUCUUCCCCACCUCUGCAUGUGCAUGUGAACGAGACCAUACCUGUGCAUGUGCAUGUGAAGAAGAGCACAAAAUGCAGCCCUACCAAGACAGCCCAGGUUAAAACAAAAAGUAGCUUGCAUCCUACUGCUAAG